AAAGCAGUGAUGCAGAGCAAAUCCCCAAAAGCAGUCUUAGUUCGGAUUGUAGGCUGCAACUCGCCUACAUGAAGUCGGAAUUGCUAGUAAUCGCGGAUCAGCAUGCCGCGGUGAAUACGUUCCCGGGCCUUGUACACACCGCCCGUCAAACCAUGAGAGUUGGAAAUACCCGAAGUCUGUUGUCUAACCGCAAGGGGGAUGCAGCCGAAGGUGAGCCAGAUAACUGGGGUUAAGUCGUAACAAGGUAAC
rnacentral:rRNA from 1 species